UCUACUAAUACGAUGGUAAUAAUAAUAGUUGUCGGUUAAAUAAUUCAAACGAAACGCAAACACGACGACGGGAUCCCGGGUAAAUUGCAUUAUGCAGGCGCUAAAAACGCCGGGUUCUAUUCACCGCAGUCCGCCGCACGAGGUACACUGUUAUUAUCAAUAAACGCGGUCACGACGGUUAACGGCAUUAGUCUUAUCGAAUUUUAAAUCGGACCAUUUUAAAGAGUUCGUUUCUACGCGCCUAACUGCGUCACAAUAAUCUGGAAAUCCGGAUCAACUGCA